UACGUAGGUGGCGAGCGUUGUCCGGAUUUAUUGGGCGUAAAGCGCGUGCAGGUGGUUGGUUAAGGCCGAUGUGAAAUCUCCCGGCUCACCUGGGAGGGUGCGUUGGCGACUGGCCGACUGGAGGCAGGUAGAGGCCGGUGGAAUUCCCGGUGUAGUGGUGAAGUGCGUAGAUAUCGGGAGGAACACCAGUGGCGAAAGCGGCCGGCUGGGCCUGUCCUGACGCUGAGACGCGAAAGCGUGGGGAGCGAACCGG
rnacentral:rRNA from 1 species